rnacentral:misc_RNA from 1 species
GAUGAAGAACGUAGCGAAAUGCGAUACGUAAUGUGAAUUGCAGAAUUCAGUGAAUCAUCGCAUCUUUGAACGCACAUUGCGCCUGCCAGCACUCUGGCAGGCAUGCCUGUUCGAGCGUCAUUUUAACCAUCAAGCCCUAGGCUUGCGUUGGAGCCCUGCGGCUGCCGCAGGCCCCUAAAAGCAGUGGCGGGCUCGCUAUCACACCGAGUGCAGUAGAUUACUCUUCGCUCAGGGCGUGUGGCGGGUUCCAGCCGUGAAAACCCCUACUUCUCAAGGUUGACCUCGGAUCAGGUAGGAAUACCCGCUGAACUUAAGCAUAUCAAUAAGCGGAGGA